UACGGAGGGUGCGAACGUUAAUCGGAAUCACUGGGCGUAAAGGGUGCGUAGGCGGGUCUUUAAGUCAGGGGUGAAAUCCUGGAGCUCAACUCCAGAACUGCCUUUGAUACUGAAGAUCUUGAGUUCGGGAGAGGUGAGUGGAACUGCGAGUGUAGAGGUGAAAUUCGUAGAUAUUCGCAAGAACACCAGUGGCGAAGGCGGCUCACUGGCCCGAUACUGACGCUGAGGCACGAAAGCGUGGGGAGCAAACAGGG
rnacentral:rRNA from 1 species